GGGCCUGUAGCUUAGCCAGGUAGAGCGACGGACUUUUAAUCCGUUGGCCGGGGGUUCAAAUCCCCUCAGGCCCG
rfam:Euryarchaeota archaeon TMED255 43346, whole genome shotgun sequence.